rnacentral:lncRNA from 1 species
UUGGGCUUCAUUAUAUGGUCUUUUAUAAACUUUCUAUGGGAUGUAUAGUUCCGCUGCAAUGUAAAUAUUUAUAUUUUGUCUGCUCUAUCACACGUUGGUGCCCCUAUUUGGCAUCGGGACGUCACACAUAGCCAUGAUCCCUCAUGUGGCCAUUAGCUUUUAUGUUUCUUUGAUCUUCUAUGUGGCCUAUGAUUAUUUGUGCCAUCCUGAUCUCUAUCGAUGCCUUCCUAAUCAUGUCUAUAACUCAUUGAAACCUUAUAUAGUUUAAAGCAGUCCUUGAGCUUACUUAAACAUCUUAGUAAAUUAUUCUUAAACAAGGGAUUCAUAAGAGAAAAGGUAGAUAACAUAUUAUUCAUAAAGAUCAAUGGAGAUGAUAUUUUAAUUGUUAAAAUACAAGAUUUUUUCAAUCACAUUAGGUUAUGUGCUGAAACUUUUUGUGAUUUAUUAAAAGAUAUGUGAUCCUCUGAAUUAUAUCAAGCUAUAUGAUGAAAAUUUUCUUGUCACAUAAUGACAUGUGAUGUGUUGAGAAAUGUAAUCAUUUAAAUCACAUCACAUAAUAUGCUACAAGUGUGAUUUUGUGAAUCACGUAAGGUAUUCUAAUCACUCAUAUUACAUCUGAUGCACUUACUAAAUAAAAACUGAAAUGACAUUUUUAAAAAAAUAAUUAUAUUUUGGAAUAUGGAUCAUAUGAAAAGAUAUUAAGUUCCUGAAUCCUUAUAUUUAAAAAUCUUGUUUGAGUUGGUGAAUAAUGAAUUUUGAUUCCUUUCUAAGAUUCUUGACGUACUUCCUUGUUAACUUUCUUACACUUGAUUAUCAUUUUCAAAUUCAAGAAAGUUGAGGAACGUGGAGAAUUAAUCACUUAUAAAGAUUCUUGAUUAUUAUAUUUUUAAUAAUAUAAAUGAAAAAUAAUUAUUAUAAUAUGUGUGAUAGAUAAUUAGGAAGAAGGUUUAAUAUUUGAUAUUCAUUAUUUGACAAUUAUGAACUUAAAAAGAUGAUCUGUUUAUAUGUAAUGUGACAUCCUCAAUACUGAUUACAGCAUAAGGGUGCUAGAUAUCAAUAUAGAAUACAAGUGCAUUUAAAUAAAAUAUAUGUAGCGAAAAUUUUACAAUACAAAAUCCCUUACAAAAUAUAUGAGUUCCUAAUUACAUAUACAAUUAAGACCAGAAGUUGCAACAAAAUACAAAAUACAAAAAGAAUGCCACUUCUCUCGCUCUGUAAAUGGACUCAUCAGAGUGCAGAACAAGACAUACACUUGUCAACGAUCAUGGAUCCACGAGAUCCAGGCAAGCUUCAAGAGGUAACUCGAUGGACAACUCAUAAAUAUCAAAUAGAAAGAGUGAGGGGGCUCAGCAUAGAAAGAGUGAGUUUUAUGAAACUCAGUAAGGCAUACAGUAUUAAAUUGACAUAACUAAGAAAUCUUAUAAAAUUAAAAGAGUUUAAGAAAAUACCUUUUUCUUCUUACCAUUUACAACGAUCCAUAGGAACAGGAUUAAUAUAAGAAAAUAUUUAUUUAAAAAUAUCAAGGCGAAGUAUAAUACAGAUAACAUACCAAUCAAAAAAAUCAAAUGAAUCAACAUAAUCAUUGUUAUUAAGUCUUUUACCAUACUUCACGCGAAGUCGGUUAUGACUUUUUAUCUACUAGCUAAUAUUGACUCCCAACUACCACUGUAGGUGACACGAACGGCAACUUACAGCUUGCUAAACAACAGCUGAUUUCUGGCUCGCCACAUGAUAGCUGAUUUACGGCUCGCCACACCAUGGUUGAUUUGUGGCUCACUGCACCAUAGCACGAUCUAUGACCAUGGUCGUGCCAACCACUUUGGUGCUAAAGACUAUUACCACAUUCGUACUUUGCUACAGUGGUCUUAAAAUCUCCUACACGUUUUAGUGCCAUCAUCCACAGGAAAUGGUCAUCUCGCGUCUUUCCAGAUAGGGUGGGGACAACAAAAGUAGAUAAAAUAAUGUAACGGAUUAAUUCAAGUUUCAUGCAUUAUGCCAUGUCAACAAUUUCAUAUAAUCUUUUCUAGCUUCAAUUCCAUCUCCAUUUAUUCAUAACAAUGUAAGCAUUUACAAUACAUGCGUUUAAAACAAUGUUAUAAAAAAUAACUCAUCACACCCUCAAAAUCAUAUCACAAAUCAUGCAAUAAAAUCAAUUAUUCACUUUUAUAUUUUUCUAGAAAUGUUUCUAAAAAUGUGCAAGAAAAUACUGAAUUGACGACUCUUCGUAAGCUAGUCCCCUUUCUCUUCAAAUUUUCCUCCUUUCUCUCUCUAACUUUCUCUCUUAGAAUUUCGGUCUUUGGGGAUGAAAAUAGGUGAGGAAGAAGGGUGGAUGAAAAUAGGAAAGGAGAACCGCCAUUUUGCGACAAGUUUCACAAAUACAGGAGGAGAGAGAAAAUGAUGACAUCAUCAGUGUCAAUCGACCAAGGGGAAGGCACG